UACGUAGGGUGCGAGCGUUAAUCGGAAUUACUGGGCGUAAAGCGUGCGCAGGCGGUUUGCUAAGACCGAUGUGAAAUCCCCGGGCUCAACCUGGGAACUGCAUUGGUGACUGGCAGGCUAGAGUAUGGCAGAGGGGGGUAGAAUUCCACGUGAUAGCAGUGAAAUGCGUAGAGAUGUGGAGGAAUACCGAUGGCGAAGGCAGCCCCCUGGGCCAAUACUGACGCUCAUG
rnacentral:rRNA from 1 species